CCAACUUAGCCAGGUGCCCCUACAAUUACCCUAUAUGUUUAAUAGUAAAACUAACUUGCAUUAAACAUCGCCUGGUUAUUUAUAUGUCUGUUGCAGGAAUAAUGCUUGGCCAUAUAAGGUCUCUCUUCUUUUUAAAAAGUAAUCUCUACAUCCAACAUGGGGCUCAAAUUCAUGACCCAGGGAUCAAGAAUCAUAUGCUCCGUGGACUGAGCCAGGAGGCGUCUUGUAUCUAAGCCUUUACUUCAUGUGCACACUGACAGAAACCAACAGUAGCCCAGGAAAUGGAACUGUGGACACCACCAGUAGCCAAAGAACUGGGGAUGGGAAAGGAUUGAACCAGCAGACAUCAGAGAAUGGAGACUGUUGAGCUGAUCCAAGUGAAUGGAGGACUAUAGCUGCUAUCUGCAGCUCCCAGUGUGGAAUCUGAGGACAGAGCCUCGGUCUGGGGUUUAGAAGUUCCUGCAGAUUGGCCAAUAGAAGGCCUGUGUAUGCCACCAGCAAUUUCCAGAAUAUACUAAGCCAGCAGACUCCAGUAAACAGGGACUGUGGACUGGAAUGGGGGAAAGGGAUUCCACACAAGUGCAGAACUACAGACUGAACCAAGGGCUAACGACUGGUGCUCUGUUAGAUUCUCCUGUCAAUCUAGACUGACCUGUUAACCCUGGCCUGGAAGGUCUGUUAGAUUGGGAGCUCAACACAAAAAGAGUAGUGCUCAAACCAAGAGGAGCUUACCAAGGGCCCUAGGAAAUGGUCGUUCCCAAGUGUAACUUUGUUCUGGCCAAAGGUGCGCAUUUAUGCCAGCCUGACCCUGAUAGAGAAAUAUCAGCCCUGGAUUGUAAAGUAAGUAAAUAAAACAAACACAGAAACAAGCUCAUAAAAUGUAAGUCAGGUCUCGUCACCCUCCAGCUCAGAACCGCCCACCUCCGCCCUGUGGACUCCCCAUAGCGCUAAGCAUAAAACCCAAAGUCCUCGCCAUGGGAAGGCCCCACAGGAAACUCUUGAUCUCAUGACUUCCACACACCCCCGCCCUCCCCGCCAGCCUCAACACGCCCACCCCUGGCUGAGGCCCUGCCUCAGGGUCAUUGUGCUUGCUCUUCUCUGCAAAGAUCACACAAUGUCGCCUUACCCACUUCUCUGAUCAGCUCGUCUAAACUAGCUGCCUCCCUGCCGCUAGCGUCACUCCGCGUUUCCUUACCCUGCUU